UCAGAGAAUAGUUUAUUUAAAACACCAGCUUUGGGAGCUGGAGAUAGAGGUUUGAGUCCUUUUUUUCUGAG
rnacentral:tRNA from 1 species